rnacentral:rRNA from 1 species
UACGGGGGGGGCAAGCGUUGUUCGGAAUUACUGGGCGUAAAGGGCUCGUAGGUGGCCAACUAAGUCGGACGUGAAAUCCCUCGGCUUAACCGGGGAACUGCAUCCGAUACUGGAUGGCUUGAGUUCGGGAGAGGGAUGCGGAAUUCCAGGUGUAGCGGUGAAAUGCGUAGAUAUCUGGAGGAACACCGGUGGCGAAGGCGGCAUCCUGGACCGACACUGACGCUGAGGAGCGAAAGCCAGGGGAGCGAACAGG